rnacentral:rRNA from 1 species
AUGUGUGUGCCAAAAGACAGGGGAGGAAUGGGUCUUCGAUCGAGAAAUAGUUUCAACUUAGCUAUGCUCGCAAAGCAAUGUUGGAGACUGAUUGAAACUUAUGAUUCUCUCUGUGCGAGGGUUUUGAGAUCAAGAUACUAUCCCUCAGGUGAUAUACUAAAUUGUGAACUGAAGAAGGGCUCAUCCUAUGUCUGGCAGAGUAUACGGGUGAGAGUUCAAACGUUCAAGAAGGGAAGUAUAUGGAGAGUUGGAGUUGGAGCGAAGAUAAAUAUUUGGGAAGACUGUUGGAUCCCGAAUAGCACGUCAAGGAAAGUAGUGAAAGUACGUGGUAACCAAGUUCUCACAAGAGUUAACGAACCAAUUGACCCAAUAUCCAGGGAAUGGGACGAAGUGCUUAUACGUGAAAACUUCUGGCCUAUAGAUGCUGACCGCAUUCUCCUAAUACCUAAUUCAUCAUCAGGAGACAGAAGAUUAUGUAGCAUGGCACUUAACGAAGAACGGCGUCUUUACGGUUCGAUUGGCAUAUUACAAACAGUGGGAAGAGUAUUAUGCAUCUGA